rnacentral:rRNA from 1 species
UGUAAGCGUAUACCAAAGUUGUUGCAGUUAAAACGCUCGUAGUCGGAAUUUGGCAGUUCCGGAAGUGUGCACGUCGUGUGCGCACUUUGCGGGGACUGCUUUUGUGGUCCUGCGUAGGAUGAGGCACUUUCAUUAGUGAACGUCCUCACGCAACCACUCUUUACUGUGAGAAAAUCAGAGUGCUCAAAGCAGGCAUUUGCCGUGAAUGUAUUAGCAUGGAAUAAUAGAAUAGGACUCGGUUCUAUUUUGUUGGUUUGUUGGGACUGAGUAAUGAUUAAGAGGGACAGUUGGGGGCAUUUGUAUUCCGGCGCUAGAGGUGAAAUUCUUAGAUUGCCGGAAGACAAACUGCUGCGAAAGCGUCUGCCAAGGAUGUUUUCAUUGA